UAAAACUGUAGUUACAAUAAACAUAAGAAAAUACACAUAUUUCUUAAAUUUUUAAAGAUUAGCAUAUACUCUUAAAAGAUAAGGUAUUAAAUUUAAAAUACUGGUAUCAAAUUUUUUAUUUUAAAAAUAAAAUUAGUUUUUUUUCCAUCAACUGUAUUUUUAUUAAAGAAAAGUCCAAUGAAAUAUUACAGGAUAAUGUUAAAAAUCAAAUUGCACCCAUUUACAUUUAUUAUUAAGCCCAAGCCCAAAGUAAAAAAAAAAACUAAUCUAAUAACCAGCUACCAUCAGAACACCCCGCCUUCUGCAUCCGCCACGUGUCCCACUACUUGUCUCCUUGAUAACACGCAUCAACAGUUAUAACUUCUAGAGAAUAAUAUAUUUGGAGACGACGGAGACAGCUCAUCCACGGUGUUCUCAUCCACUUUCCUCUUUCACCUCUACGGAUGCCUUAUUCAAGCCAUCCAACAUCUUCAGAUUAUAGACUUAAGAUUGCUCCAAUUGGUACAUACUAGGAAACUUUGUCGGACUGCUCCAAUGAAUAUGCCUACUCCACUGACUCCCUUCUGGACCAAUUCAAGAUUUACCUUUCAUCAUUCUCUUCCUUUCCAACAGGAAAACUUUACCCAUAUGCCAAAUACCACCUAUAGAAAAGGUAAAAACUAACUUCCAAAGAAAGGCGUCGAAAGCAUAUCCUCCAAUGAAGAUAACUUGAUUCAAUCUAAACAGAAUUUAAUCAACUCCUACGAAAGAAACUAACGAUAGAAGUUUCGUCUAUAUUAACAAACAAAACUUUAUUAAACAAUCCCAAGAACAGAGGUAGAAUAAGACCAUUAAGGAAAACUGUCUUGAGUCACUAACACUUCAAAAUCGGCUUAACUGAAAAAAUAUUCCGUUAUCGGAAAAGAAUAUUCACCGAGCGAAAGUAAAAAUUUACAACAAAAGACUAAAGAUAUUUCUCUUCCUCUCUAUUCAAACUCUAUAUUUUGAAAGAUUUGUGUUUGGUAAGAAGUAUAGAGUUUUUGAGAGAGAAGCCUCUCUGUAGAGAGGAGAGAGAAGCUAAAAAAUAAAAUUAG
rnacentral:lncRNA from 1 species